rnacentral:rRNA from 1 species
AUGCAUGUAUGCCGCCUGAAGAAAUUGUGCUAUCACCUGAGCUUCUGCUGUGCCCCAUCAUCUUUUGCAUUUGCAUCUAGUAAUGGUUCUUCCCAUUUUUUCCAUAGGAAUGCUGAUCUAUCGUCAGUUGCUUCAGUUGGAACUGCUGCCAGUAUUGGGAUCCUACUCUUUUUGCACUUUACAGAUGGAGUGUUCCUUCACUCGCCCGAAUAUGAUGAAGAGUUUGGCAUUUAUCUCCCAAAUUUGAAUGUCAACUCCUUGAAUGCCAAUCGAUAUGUUGAGGAAAUUGCGCUUGUCCAUGAAUUUCUGUUUCUUGAUCGAUAUACAUGCGUUCAAAAUUCAACUUCUUAG